AAUGCUUGCUAUGCUGGUUGCUAGGGUUAAAGCCAAACCAUGUGUACAGGUCAUGUACAUGGUCUACUGUGGAUCUACAAUGAUCUGUUUGACAUGGAUUGGCUUUUUUACUAUGCGAUAAAUUUACGAUGACGCGAUUUCUAAACAUUUCGUGUGUGGGUUGCAUUUUUAGACUUGUUUCUAAAAGUGUGCUUAUUUGGGCUUGCUCAAAUUUCUUCUGUCCACUAUUAGCGGUCUAAUAAAUCACAGAAACGGCAUAGUUAUGCCUUAUUGCUGGAUCUAGAACCCUUGUUUCUUACACCCCUCCUUUGCCCAAAACUGCACAGACUUUUUCUUUAGCAAGUUCGAAAUAAAGGUCCAACUGGGCGAAAUAUAGGAGCCCAUAUAUAGCCUAACGUUACAGUGGUAGAAAGCCCUAGGUCUGGUAGCCAUAACACUGCCUGUACACGCAUCUUUACAUGUUAGCCGAAAGUUACACCACCAUAACCUGCUAGUGGCCCCGUGUUUAAUUAUUGCUUGAAUCGAUUGCUGAAUUCAAGAGUAGUGAUGAUGAUGAUGAUGGGGAUUGCAUGCUUUCAAGUGUUGGUCAGGAUGUAGAUUGGAUGGAUGUAUAUUGUUGUGAAUUGAGAGCAGUCAGCUCAUGGUGUAAUAGCCUUCAUCUCUGAGACACAUUGUAGCUUUUUCAAUCUUGGCGAAAUUUGUAGUACAGAAGUUGUGUGUGUAUAUAUGGUCAAUUGUAGCCUACUGGGAAUUAAAUCAAAAUAUUAGCAGAAGACAUAGCCACACUAUGGUAGGCCAGGCCUUUUUUCCUUUCAUAGCUCCUCUCUCUGAGUUUGAUGUCACGUCAUGUCACAUUGUCAACAUGGUAGGCUACAUGGAUAGAUGAAGCAGAACAUAGGGGGUCAUAUGUCUAAUGCUUUUUGAAAAGGCUUUCUUCUUCAUAAAACGUGUAGGACAUCAUCACAUUUUUGUAUACAUUUUUAUUCAUUUACAUUAAGCUACAGGACUGCGAAAGAGAAAAAAAAUGAAUGCGUCAUUGUACUCAGCACUUCUGAAAUUGCACUUUCGAUUGCGUCUCUGUCCCCAGCACAUUUCAAACCAACCUGACGCCCAUGCAUAACCAUGUUAAACUAAAUAACAGCUGUCAAAGUAGCCUAGUAGGCUAAAUUGCUCCAAAGCCCAGUGUGUGUGGCGAUGUCAAAUGAGGCGCUGAUCCUUCAAAACUGAAGCGGCAUCUGGAGACAGACACCCAACUCUGGCUGAUCUGGAAUGCCUAAAGCAGGAUGGAUCCAUUAAGAUAUCUGAGACGUCUUGUCCCAGCUUCCAUUCUCUGGUGGCCACUUUGCUCUCAGGAACUAAACUGGACCCUAUCUGUUAGAUUUGACGGCUCUGAAGGACAGGCAGGCAGGCUGUGAAAAUAUGCCUGAAUGGAGGUCCCGGUGGCGACUCAUCCUGCUGAAUUCUAUGACCUGUGGCUUAGAGAUCUGUGUAGCAGCUGGGAUCACCUAUGUGCCACCACUGCUGCUGGAGGCAGGGGUGGCGGAGCAGUACAUGACUAUGGUUUUAGGUAUUGGACCAGUCCUUGGACUACUAUUCAUCCCACUGAUUGGUUCUGCAAGUGAUCAUUGCAACAGCAGUUAUGGCCGUCGAUGGCCUUUCAUCUGGCUGCUGUCACUGGGUGUGCUGCUUGCCUUGAUCAUUAUCCCACAUGCAGAUGCUGUGGCCGCAUACUUCUGGGGAGGUCAGAUGCUUCAUGUCGGCCUGCUUAUCCUUGGUGUGGGCCUGCUAGAUUUCUGUGGCCAACUGUGCUUCACUCCUCUUGAGGCCCUGCUGUCUGAUCUGUACCAUGACCAGGGGGACUAUAACCAGGCGUUUGCCAUGUUCUCUUUCAUGGUUAGUCUGGGAGGCUGUAUUGGGUAUUUGCUCCCUGCUCUGGAUUGGAGUGGAAGUCUGCUGUCAAUUUACCUUGGGGGGCAGGCCGAGUGCCUUUUCUCACUGCUCAUUCUCAUCUUUGUGUCGAGUGUCCUGGUCACUAUGAAGGUAUCAGGGGAACCGUCGCAUCCGUCUGCAUCUCUGGAGCCAAAUUCCCUACAGACCAGUCGUUGGAUGCCCUGUUCAUGUUGUUACCUGCUCAGAUGCAAGUUCAGGUUGCUGAAGUCUGGUGCCCUGCUGUGCCUACUGCAGACAUGCUGGUCCAUGACACCUGCCAUCUACCGUAGCUAUUGUCAUGUACCACGUGUGAUGCGACAGCUUUGCGUAGCACAGCUUUGCAGCUGGAUUGCGGUUAUGUCAUUCAUGCUGUUCUACACAGACUUUGUUGGAGAAGGGUUGUAUGAAGGUGUUCCCAAUGCUGCUCCAGGGACAACGCUGAGACAACAUUAUGAUGAAGGCAUUCGGAUGGGCAGUUUGGGCCUCUUUCUGCAAUGUGCUACCUCAACUUUCUUCUCCUUACUCAUGAGUCGUUUGGUGUGUCUCUUUGGCUCAAGGAUGGUCUACCUUAGCAGUAUGGUGUGCUUCACCAUCUCUGCUCUUGUCAUUUGCUUGUCCAAGAAUGUGGUCUUGGUUACUACCAUGUCUGCUCUGACAGGAUUUGCCUAUGCUACCCUGCAGACUCUUCCCUACACCCUCACUUGCCAGUAUCAUAAAGAUAAAGAGGUUUUCAUGCCAAAAGGAAAACUCAAAAACUUAAACAAGAAUGAUAUCACCAUCACCAAGGAAUCUGUGCAUUUGAAGAUUGAUGAUCAUGGUGAGGUCUUGAACCAUAAACCUGGCUCUGUCAAUGGGCACUCAUAUUUCAGCAGGGAUAUUUCAGAAUACUACACUCCACAGCACUACCAGAUUGGCUUUCCAUCUGAUUCCAUAGAGCAAGAUCAUGAUAAGCGUGGUGUUGGUCUGGAUUUUGCCAUUCUGGAUAGCACCUUUCUGUUGUCUCAAGUCUUUCCAACUCUCUUCAUGGGCAUGAUUGUGCAAUUUACAAAAUCUGUUACAGCUUACAUUGCCUGUUCUGCAAUUUUUGGUGCCAUUGCAAUUUGCCUGGCAAACCAUGUAAUUUUUGACCAAAAAGACUUGUGAUGCUGCCUACCUAGGCAUAUCAGUACUAAUUACAUUUUUAAUGGUGUACAUUAUUAUGUGAGUGUGAGUUGCUAUCAAAAGUGUUCAGCUAAUUUCACCUUACAGACACUCUAUGUGAGUAAACAAUUGAAUACUCUCAUGUAGUUAUUUGGAUUAAUUGAUAAAGUUGAGUUUAGUAAUAGUUUAAAUGGGAAAUCAGAUUCUGCCCCAAAAUGGCCUUCGGUUUUGAAGAAUUUAUGGAACCUGACAUAUGGUUAAGAGAACACCCCCCAAAAGGGCAGACUCCCCUCCAUUCUUGGUUGGUAAUGGUAUUUUUCUUGUAGGCCUUGCUUAUAUUUUGACAGGCAUUAUUGUGCUAUGAUCCAUGGGGUCCUGCCACUCCAUAAAAUUACUUCCUAGGACUGAUUAGUACUCUAGUAAGUACUUUUUCCUCCCUCUCGUCAUCAUUAGGCUGUAUAUUUACAAGGUUGUAUAAGGAUUACAGAGAUACAAGGAAAUUGAAUCAAAUGCCAGGGAUAUUCCAAAAAGCAGUUGUAACAUAUAUUCUGAGAGUAACUCAGGUCUUUCUGAACUCAGAUCAGCUGUCCAGGGGCCUGUACUACGAAGGGAGCUUAACCUACCCAGAUGUAACCCAGGGUUACUUUGUUAAACCGGGUUUGACAAAACCUGGUUAUCAUAAGUGGUGUUAAUCGGUAC